CCCACGAGAAGACCAAUCACGGCCCUGUGGGUCCUCCCUCUGCCAGGCGACCGCUUACCACCACAGGUCGGGGUCCCUGUCGCCGAGAUCCCAGCCGCCUCCCUCGACUCGAGCCCUGGAUGAACAGCAGCCACGGUGCGCGUCUUGGAUACACAGGUGCAUGCGUCAUGGGUACACAGGACCGACGUGACUCGGGUGACUUCACUCAAUUCUCC